CUCCUGUUAUAGUACCUUCACUACACCCUACACUACUCCUGUUACAGUACCUUCACUACACCCUACACUAUUCCUGUUAUAGUACCUUCACUACACCCUACACUACUCCUGUUACAGUACCUUCACUACACCCUACACUACUCCUGUCACAGUACAUUCAAUAAGGUCUGUCCUCAGUCUGUUCUCUCUGUGCUGGUUCUAGUAUACACCUCCUCUUUCUCUACAAACACACACACUGACAAACACACAUUACAAACACACACUACACACACACACACACACUGUCAAACACACACAUACACACACACAAACACUGACAAACACACAUUACACACUGAGACACACACACUACACACUGACAAACACACAUUACACACACACACUGACAACCACACACUACACACACACACACACACACUGACAAACACACACUAGAAGCACACACACGCACAUGAACAAACACACACAAACACUCCACAUUUACACUGAUUUAAACAUAUGUUUUAAUCUCAAAGGUACAACUGACUAUUAUGUCAUGACUGUCUUCAUUAUUAUAACAGACUAAAUGAAUCCAAUAUGCUUUGACAAACACAUAUUUAAAGGUACAACUGACUAUUAUGUCAUUACUGUCUUCAUUAUUAUAACAGACUAAAUGAAUCCAAUAUGCUUUGACAAACACAUAUUUAAAGGUACAACUGACUAUUAUGUCAUUACUGUCUUCAUUAUUAUAACAGACUAAAUGAAUCCAAUAUGCUUUGACAAACACAUAUUUAAAGGUACAACUGACUAUUAUGUCAUUACUGUCUUCAUUAUUAUAACAGACUAAAUGAAUCCAAUAUGCUUUGACAAACACAUAUUUACAUGAAUAUUUGCAAAAAUGUUGCUUGACUUUCACAACAUCUGGAGAUACAGAUUUAUUUUAAACCCAGAUGUUCAUAUUUUACAUUAUAUUCAAUAAAACUACAUGAGCUGUUUUAAUACAAUGUGUCAAGGAGGAUUUGAAACAGGAAAGGGAUUGUUUUUUAAAUGUCGUUCCAAGAUGGUGGCUCUGUGGUGACAACCCUUCGUCUCUCUACAGGGAGCUUCUCUUCAUCCCAGAUGUCACCUUGUUCUCUAUAGAGCACUGCCUUUAUCCAGGGUCCAUAUGGGGGAUACAUAAUAGGGUGUCAUUUGGGACACAUUCCUUGUAUAUAUUCUAUAGUACUACAUUAUUGUGGGUAGCUGGGCUGUAGAGUAGAGGACAUCUUCUGGAGUGUCUUUAGAGAGGUGUACAGCAGGGUAUCUUGUAGAUUCUACAGUAUCUUUGGGUAGCUGGGCUGUAGAAUAGAUGGAAUCAUCCUGGGUUCCACUGGCUGUUGGAGGACUUGAGGAGACUCUAGAAUCUGUAGGUAGAUCCACAUUGGAGUAGAUGAGAGAAGCUGGGUGAUCUGCAGUAGAAUAUGGAUUUAUAUCAUCUUUGGGAAGUCCAUAGUAGAAUAACAUGGCAGGUUAUGAUAAUGAACGUGGGAGGUUAGUAGAAAUAAAAUAGCAGGUUAGGAAAAUGUACAUUGCCAUUCAGGAUAACUAACGUGACAGGUUAGGAAAAUCAGGUUAAGGUUAGGAAAAGAGGGUCAGCUAAAAUGCAACAAGGAAGCAGCAAGCAGCCACUCAAAUAGACAUUAAGUGGCCAACAAACUGCCCAAUUAGCUGUUAUGUUUCCAUCGACCCAUUUAUGUUGCUCUUCCCACUUAUUUGUCAACGCCCACUUUCAAACACACUCCACCUAUGCAGUUACACAUGAAUCUGUGGAAUACCUGUGGCAGAGCUAGCAGGGUAGGUUGUAGAUGCUUGGCCAGCAGGGUAGGUUGUAGAGGAAUGACCAGUAGGGUAGGUUGUAGAGGCUUGGCCAGCAGGGUAGGUUGUAGAGGCUUGGCCAGCAGGGUAGGUUGUAGAGGCUUGGUCAGCAGGGUAGGUUGUAGAGGCUUGGUCAGCAGGGUAGGUUGUAGAGUUGUUAGGUGAUUUGACAGUAGAGUAGACUACAGAGAUGACCACAGGAAGUGUGUCUGUCUGUCUGUCUGCCUCUCUGAUCUCCUCGUACACACAGACAACCUGCAUAGAGAACCAAUGACAAUUACUACAUAUAUGGUCAAUAUGGAAAAGAGUGGAGGGCCCUCAGCCAAUGUGAGUCAAGGUUCAAACCAAAAAAUGUAAAUGAAGAACUACAUUGUUAAUAUGGCUGCAUUUACACAGGCAGCCCUUUAAUUGGCUAAAUAUGUAAUCUGAUUGGUCAAAAGACCAAUCAUUAAGAUCAGAAUUGGGCUGCCUGUGUAAACGCAGCCUAUGAGUCUGAGAAUCCAUCAUGUGUUGAAACUGUCUAAUGAACAAGUGUUGUUUGUAGGAGGUUCUUCCUGUUGACAGAUUGAGGAAUGAUAACAGACUACAGUAGAAUCCCACUAGAGGCUGUAGACUCACACACUCAACCCUUAAUGUUUAGUUUACCACCUCCCUGUCUAUCACCUCUACAC
ensembl:lncRNA